ensembl:lncRNA LINC00626 long intergenic non-protein coding RNA 626
UUUUCUUCUGAAAAUCCUUUGUAGCAGAUUCUAUUAGCUUCAGGUAACAGGCAAUUAUGUGCUUUAAGAGAGAACCCCUCUCCCAGGAAGUGAACGUGAUUGGCACACCAACUGGGGUAAUUCAUCUUUCCAGGGAUUAAUUUAAGAAAGGGCAUGUAAGACUGCUUUAACCAAAGAGACAUGAGGGGAAGUCUGCUUGAAAGGAGGUAGUAGUCCAGAAAAAGAUUUUGUUUUGCUUUAUGAAAAGGAAGCAGGAGGAGAAAGUAUUAUUUUUUGUCUUUAGAUUUACCAUGAGCAUGUGAUGCUUAGGCUACGGCAGCCAUCUUGGUACCCUGAGAAGAGUCACCCUAAGAGAAGAUGCCAGCAUUCUAGGAAAAGCAGGGCGGGGAUGGAGAAAAAAUCCAGGGCCUGGAUGACAUUGCUGAGCUGCUGAGUUAACCUAGAACUAUCCUAACUCAAGAUUUCUCUUUAUAAGGAGUAACACAGGCAUGUGGAGAAUUUCUCAGAGUAUUUCCGCAGCAACCAACUGGCAUGAAGAAUACUUUGCUGAAACAUGGGGUUCAAAAGCAGCCCACAGCUCUCUUUCAGACCUCUGAAGUCACACCCAGUGGUCUAGUCAACAUUUCCUCUUGCAGAGAUUGUAAAGGUUUCAAUCUUAACACCAUGUGACUAAUUCGGUCUCUAUGAUCAAAGCCUUAUAAGAAAGAAUGACUGGUUGACCCGACAUGGACCAAGUGACCGUUCUUGUUCCCAGUGUGUUGUGGGCUAAGAAGAGAUGGGCACAGAAUGAUGGGAACGCAGAGCGAAAGGGCCCAACUCUACCAGGAGGGGAAGAUAAAAACUCCUGAAGAAAUUAUACAAAAAUAGAAUACUUACAACAGAAUUCUCAACAUCAUUUUUCCCUGUUUGAAUCCAGCAAGUCAGCCAUUGGUCACUUAAGAGCACUAACCCCUCCCUGGUUUGAAGAUGUUCUUGACUUUAAAUACAAACAUCUGAUAUUCCAGCUUAGACUCCUCCACAAGAACUAGAGUGUCAUCCUAUUUUGGCUUCCAGCUCAGUCCCUCUGCUACAAGUCUUGACUCCAGAACUCUGUGGGAUAAUAAAAUACAAGAUCAUAGCUUGAAAA